AACGAACGCUGGCGGCAUGCCUAACACAUGCAAGUCGAACGAGAUCUUCGGGUCUAGUGGCGCACGGGUGCGUAACGCGUGGGAAUCUGCCCUUUGGUUCGGAAUAACAGAUGGAAACGACUGCUAAUACCGGAUGAUGACGAAAGUCCAAAGAUUUAUCGCCAGAGGAUGAGCCCGCGUAGGAUUAGCAAGUUGGUGUGGUAAAGGCGCACCAAGGCGACGAUCCUUAGCUGGUCUGAGAGGAUGAUCAGCCACACUGGGACUGAGACACGGCCCAGACUCCUACGGGAGGCAGCAGUGGGGAAUAUUGGACAAUGGGCGAAAGCCUGAUCCAGCAAUGCCGCGUGAGUGAUGAAGGCCUUAGGGUUGUAAAGCUCUUUUACCCGGGAUGAUAAUGACAGUACCGGGAGAAUAAGCUCCGGCUAACUCCGUGCCAGCCGCCGCGGUAA
rnacentral:rRNA from 1 species